rnacentral:rRNA from 1 species
UACGGGGGGGGCAAGCGUUGUUCGGAAUUACUGGGCGUAAAGGGCUCGUAGGCGGCCAACUAAGUCGGAUGUGAAAUCCCCAAGCUUAACUUGGGAACUGCAUCCGAUACUGGAUGGCUUGAAUCCGGGAGAGGGAUGCAGAAUUCCAGGUGUAGCGGUGAAAUGCGUAGAUAUCGAGAGGAACACCUGCGGCGAAGGCGGGUUGCUGGGCCGACACUGACGCUGAGGCGCGAAAGCCAGGGGAGCGAACGGG